UAGGCUUUAGUUUAAAUGAGAACUUUUGACUGUUAAUCAAAUAGAAACUUGAAAGGUUAAGUCUAG
rnacentral:tRNA from 1 species